AGGGCCGUAGCUCCAUGGUAGAGCAGCAGCUUCACCUGCAGGAGGUCCCAGGUUCAAUCCCUGGCAGUUCCA